rnacentral:rRNA from 1 species
UACAGGGGGGGCAAGCGUUGUUCGGAAUUACUGGGCGUAAAGGGCGCGUAGGCGGCCGAUCAAGUCAGAGGUGAAAGCCCAGGGCUCAACCCUGGAAUUGCCUUUGAUACUGUUUGGCUAGAGACCGGAAGAGGUUAGUGGAACUGCGAGUGUAGAGGUGAAAUUCGUAGAUAUUCGCAAGAACACCAGUGGCGAAGGCGGCUAACUGGUCCGGUUCUGACGCUGAGGCGCGAAAGCGUGGGGAGCAAACAGG